rnacentral:rRNA from 1 species
AUUGAACGCUGGCGGCAUGCCUUACACAUGCAAGUCGAACGGCAGCACGGGAGCAAUCCUGGUGGCGAGUGGCGAACGGGUGAGUAAUAUAUCGGAACGUGCCCAGUCUGGGGGAUAACGUAGCGAAAGCUACGCUAAUACCGCAUACGAUCUACGGAUGAAAGCGGGGGAUCGCAAGACCUCGCGCGAUUGGAGCGGCCGAUAUCAGAUUAGGUAGUUGGUGAGGUAAAGGCUCACCAAGCCGACGAUCUGUAGCUGGUCUGAGAGGACGACCAGCCACACUGGGACUGAGACACGGCCCAGACUCCUACGGGAGGCAGCAGUGGGAAUUUUGGACAAUGGGCGCAAGCCUGAUCCAGCAAUGCCGCGUGCAGGAUGAAGGCCUU